rnacentral:rRNA from 1 species
CGAAGGGUGCAAGCGUUAAUCGGAAUUACUGGGCGUAAAGGGUGCGUAGGCGGUUGUUUAAGUCUGUCGUGAAAUCCCCGGGCUCAACCUGGGAAUGGCGAUGGAUACUGGACAGCUAGAGUGUGUCAGAGGAUGGUGGAAUUCCCGGUGUAGCGGUGAAAUGCGUAGAGAUCGGGAGGAACAUCAGUGGCGAAGGCGGCCAUCUGGGACAACACUGACGCUGAAGCACGAAAGCGUGGGGAGCAAACAGG